CCUACGGGUGGCAGCAGUGAGGAAUAUUGGUCAAUGGGCGCAAGCCUGAACCAGCCAAGUCGCGUGCAGGAUGACGGCCCUACGGGUUGUAAACUGCUUUUAUACGGGAGUAACGCGCCUUGCGUGUAGGGCUUUGCAUGUCCCGUAUCAAUAAGGACCGGCUCAUUCCGUGACAGCAGCCGCAAUAAUACGGAAGGUCCGGGGGUUGUCCGGAUUUAUUGGGUUUAGAGGGAGCGUAGGCCGCAGGUCAAUCGUGCUGUGAAAUGUCCGGGCUAAAACAGGGCCUUUCAGCGCGAACGGGCGUGGUGGGGGCCGCGGAAAGCAGGGGGAAUUCGGGG
rnacentral:rRNA from 1 species